CAUAUUUUGUAAGAACCAAAGCAACAGAAUGGAAAUGGAAGAAUUUGCAUAUAAUGGAAUACUCCAUAGCAAUGAAAAAGAACAAACCACAGCUGCAUGUAACAACAUGAGUGUAUCUCACACACAUAAGACACAAGAGAGUACAUCUUGUGUUGUUUCAUUCACAUAAAGUUUAAGAACAGGUGAAAUGAAUCCCUGGUGAUAGAAAUCAGGAUCAUGAUUACCUUUAGGCGGAAGGAGGUUAGAGCUAGGAGGAAGCAUGAUAGAAUCUUCUGGGAUGCUUAAAAUGUUCAAUAUUUUGCUCCAGAUGGUGGUUACACAGGUGGAUUCAUAUCCAAAAAUUCACCAAGCUGUAUACACUUAAGUUUUGUGCACUUUGCUGCACGGCAUAGUCUUUCCCUCAGCUUGUCUUUCAGCCUGGUCCUCGUCUCUAAUUUUAAAACGAAAUCAACAGCCACAUCACAAAAUAGAAUUCACUUUAAAAAUAUGCUUUAUUUUUUAAACUGAAAUCCCAAUUGUCCAUAAGCAUACAAAUGGAGGGUUUCAAAUUGUUUACUGGCCAGAGUAUCAAGCCAUUUAGCAGGCCCUUGAGAGAAGAGGUAUGUUCUGGCAGAGAAUCAGAGAAUCAUGAGCCUGAAUGUACACAAAGGAGGCAUGACCAGCAAUGAAAAGACAGGAAGGGACGGAGAUUGGAGAGAAUGGUUUGGUCCAGGGAAGGUUGUUAGAAAUUUCUUUCACUUCACAAGCUUGCAAAAGACCUGGGUCUCAACUUCCAGCAAAUCGAGAUGGAGAAUUUUUUAAAACCAUAAUUAGAUUUUCAAAAAAAUAAGAACAUUCCUUCGAAGAAGCUGUUAUCCAGCAUCAGAUCUCUGAAUGCCGCUGACUGAAAAGCGGGCUUUUGCAUGCAAGGUGGAAAUCUAUAUUCAGUUGCAGGUAGACCAAUUUGCUACUAAGUUGGUUUCUCCAGCCUCGGCUGUGAAAAAGCAGCAUCCUUUGGGAAGCAUUUUGCACUUACUGCAAUAUUCCAGCGAUGCCAAGUCACAAUCUCAGUGAGCUCCACACUUACUCAGGUAAAUUCAACUAAUUCAUGUGCUAUGUUAGCUAAAUGGAAAAAUAUUGAUUCAACCAUUCUGCUUACAAAGAUUGUUAGAUUUUAUACUAAGUCAGAAUUUCAUCUGCCUCCUUUCUGACAUUUGUGUAAAGGUUGGAUGCCUAUAACACUGAAAAUAAUUUAUAAUAUACUGACCUCUAUGAGCUUACAGUGGUAUAGUGCUGUAAGCUAUUAACAUCCUUAUUUACCCUGAGAGGAUGCAGGAUAGUUAGAAACACAGAUAAUUGGUAUUGUAAGGCCAAUUGCCUAUGUCUUAAGAAUAAUUAUCAUUAUUUGCCUGGCAUUUUAUUUAGGAAUAGGCUAAUGGCAUUCUUUAUAAACAGUGCUAUCUUAUUCUUAAGUUUAGCUCUGUUUCUUAAAUAAAGAUAAUUCCUUAAGAUCCUUUUUUCAAAAUUCUAAAAGGACCUGUCUUUUACUACAAAAACUUUAAUAAUUUUUAUUUUUUCCAAUGUUUUAUUAUGAACAUUUUCUAACAUAUAGAAAAUUCAGAAGAAAAAUACAAUGAACACUCAUAUCACUUAGACACCUACCAUUUAGAUUCAACAAUUGUUAACAUUUUGCCAGAUAAGUGGGUGUGUGCACUUGUGUGUGUAUGUUGUUUGCUGAACCUAUAUCAAAAUAAGCAACAGACUUCAUGAUAUUCUUCCCUAAAUAUUUCAGGGUCAUCUCCUAAAAAUAGGGCAUUCCACUACAUGAUCACAAUACUACUAACACAUCCAAGAAAAUUAGCAAUUAUUAUAAUAUUAUCUUAUACCCAGAUCAUGUACAAAUUUUCUCAUUUGUUCCUCAGAUAUAUAUUUAAGCAUGUGUUGAAUGGCUGGGUUUUGUUUUAAAUCCAGGUUUGUAUAUUGCAUUUUGUUUCUGUAUUUCUUUUAAUCUCUUUUAGUGCAACAGUGUUCUCAGUAGCACCCUCAUGCCCCAACACAUCUUCUUUUCUUUGGCAUUGAAUUUUUAAAGCAUCCAGGACCAUUGUUUUGUAUCAUGUCUCAAAUAUGUUUAUUUCUUCAUAGUGUCCUAUAGCUGGUUCAUCUCCUGUGUAUUUGUCAUGAACUGUAAGUUGAAGUCCUUUAGCUGCAUCUUAAAUAUUUGAUCCUAGUUAUAGCCACUUAUGUUGGCUUUUCUAUCGUUGCAUGUAAAUAAGACUUGACCUUAUUCAAUAAACUAAAGUCUUUCUGAUUUUAUAAAAUAUAAGUGCCUCUAAGUGAGACCUCUCUCCUGUACUUUAUGACUUCUUAGUAAAUGCAUAGCACAUAUUUACCAUCUGAAUCACACCAUUCAGAUUCAAUCUCUCUGGAUUCUUGUAAGUCAUCCAAAAUUUUUCAUUUAGAAUGUGGUGUACUACACUCAAAAUUACUCUUUUCCUGCCAAUAUGCUGUCUUUUUUUCCUUAGGAUUAUCUCUUUGGAGAUUUUUAAUUAAAUAUAUUCUUUUCUACUGAUAGGCAGUUAAAGUCUGAAACUUUAAACAUCUGGUUAUCUACUUCUAGGGUAAUAAUGUAUUUUAGAAAAACCUAGAAAUUAAUGCAAUUUAUAAAAAUAACUAAAUUAUUUAGUGUACCAAGUGUGAGAGAAAUCUGUAUGCUAAUUCUAGAAUGUGCAGUAACAUGAAGUAGAAUAGUCUCUAGACAAGUGUGAAAUUUUUAAUUAAUCCAAGCUAUAUCUGAAAAAGUGAUGUUUGAGGGUUUCAGAGUGAUUGUAAAUUAAACUAAUUACAAAUUGAUUACCAUUGAUAAGUUGGUCCUUUAAAUUCUUAAGAUAAAAUGAAAGCUGAAUUUUUAUUUGUGACUGAUUUGACUAUUUCUGUACAAUAUUUGCUUUAGGAAACAUUUUAGUGUUUUCAAAAUUCACCUUUUAGCUGGAUCCAGUGAUACGUCUGACAAAAUGACAGGCAAUUUGGAAAGCGAACAUGAAAAUAUCUGAGGAAGGGCAGUCCAGACUGAAGGAACUGCAAAUACAACAAACCUAGAGACAAACCAUCAACCAAUACUUAGCAAAAAAACUAGACUAGGAAAAAUGUCUGAAAAACCCUAGACCACCUACGUCCUCACUUGCUACAACUUGAAUAGUCCUAAAAAUAUUCCCAUGAAUACUACAUUUAAGAAGAAUAUUCAAGAAGAAUAAUACUUAAAAAUAUACUUGUGAUAAAUUGGGUAAAUUUAGCAAAUUGUUUUUAGGCAAAUUGAUGCUUUGCUAAGUUGACUUAUAGAGGACUGGUUUUCAAUCAAUUGAUUUCUGGCUAAUUUACCUACAGCUGUGCCUGCUGCAGAAUAGACAUUUAGUAAAUGUUUAUUGAAAGAAUGAUAGGAAAAAGCUUGCAUGUGAAACAAAAUGCCAAGUAUUGUAUUGAGUUUUGUAUCUGAGAGCAAUAACUUAACUGGAAACUAAUUUGGGUUUGUGGCUUAUCUGCCUUUCUGAUAUUUGAUCCCAUCCAAAAACCAUCUGCAGGUUUUUUAACUGCAAAGCCUCACAAGACCUAUCUCUGGCCCAGUUUAUCUCCUGGUGCCUUCCUUUCAUCUUCAAAGCAGGCCCCAGGAACUCAGCUUUCUUUCCUCUCCAGCAACUCAGCCAUCCUUUCUAUCCCUUCAGAUUUUGUUUCAUACCACUGCAUAAUCUCCCUCAUUUUGCAUUUUCUUCUACAUCUGUAGAUAAGCACAGAAACCUAAAAAAUUUAAGGAUCUUAUUCCUGAUCUCUGAAAAGAAAUAGGAUAAUGAAGUAACCAAUCUGGUAGAAGUGAGUAAGGUUAUAGAAUCCUUCCAUAAUUAACAAGUUAUCUGUUACUUGUCCCUUUCAAGAUGGUAAAUGGAUCUAGGAGGAUGAGACUUUUGUGUGUGCCUUUUUCUCUCCCCGCUAAAUUAUAUGAAUUAGUUUUAUCUCUUUAGGAUUUGCCAAAAAGCAAAGUGGUUAUCAUUAUUGGUUAAACACAUUGAUAUUUAUUUAUUUUAGCAAACAUGAAAGCAAUUGUUACAACAGGACUACAACAGUCAGCAGAACUGGGUCCCAGCUGGUGGUGACUCCAGAAAAUAGUCAGGGUCCCACCUUGUGCCCACUCUUCCAUACCUUUCCUGAAUAGUCAUCAGUGUUCUAGGUCUGGUAUAUGUUCCCUGAAAGGCAGCAAAGAAAGAGAGUACAGACUGUAGUGUCCCUGAUAAGAUCAUAUGUGGAUCUCCUAAUAUCAAUUUGGCUUGAAUACAAGGACUACUUUCCUAUUCCAAGGGCAGGGUAGAGGUACAUACCUAGGACAUGGAAUGGCAGAUGUCUGAAAUAUACAUUGCAGACCACCACACUUCACUGAGGUGUUGCCCUCUGCAUUUAUUCCUGAGGGUGGAGUUCACUAAACCACUUUCCUUCUCACCCCAUUUUUAGAUACAAUCAAGGUAGAAUAAUAGGUGUUUCCUAAACUCAAAUUGGCAGUUUGCAGUUUCUAGGACAUCAGCAAUGAAUGACACCCUUUUAGUGAACCCUGGCCCUUCCCCUUCCCCCUAGGAAUGAUGAACAUAGUUCAUGUCUUUACUAAUCGUCUGUGACCCAAGCAUCAUACUGAGCACAACGUGUAAAUAUCAAGAAGACAGUGUUCAAGGGCAAGGCUUCAGUAUAUGAGGGGCAGCAGAAGUGAUGGGGGGGAGGAGGAGUGGAAGACCAAGGCUGAGCCAUUCCCCAGAGGGAUCUUGUUACCAGGAACGUUGCCAAGGCAGGGGCUUUUGCAGCUGUGUAAAGAGCAGAUUGGAGCAAGAUAGAAGCCUGUUGUGAAAACUGGGGCCCAAGAUCAGGGCUGGACAACAUCAAGCAUCUUUGCUGCUAGAGUGCCUAAGCGUUGAGUCACAGCAACUUAAUCCCUCCUAUUAAUACCUGGUUUGAUUCUAGAGACUGGGGUGAGGCUGAGUCCCCUAUUGGCUGCCAGAAUUUCAGCUGCAGGGAGACAAACUCCAGGAAAUCUACAAGUUAGGCAAGAAGGAUAUGGGGAAACAGAGGUCAGUUUCCAGAGAAUUAAACAACUGACAUGAAAGACUUAAGGGCUGUUCCUGGUAAAGGAAUCUUUACGUGUAGGAACUGGGCAAGGAGAAAAAGAGUCCAGUUGCAUUCACAUUCUCACCUGAGUGACAAGAGAAGGCAAGAUAACUAAGCGGAACUUUUUUCAUUCUGUUGCUUUCUAAAUUUUCAAACUAAGUUUAAAGAACAAUGAGACUAAGUCUGUAGGUCACGACAACCUGGCAACUUCAAGUUAGACCUCCAUAAUCAUGAGUGUUUGCUCUCACCUAUCAAUACCAUGCCAUUCUGAGAUUGCCAGACCAGCCUUCUUCCCAGCCCUGGCACCCAGGGCUCUGGCUCAGCUCUUUAAUACCUACUUCCCUGUGCUGACCUGAUGCAGGAACUGCUGGCCUUGCAGCUUGUCCAAUGUCAGCCUAGCUCAAAACUGGGUCUUCAUACCUACAGUCCAAAGAAGGUGUUGAACUUGCUAAUCUAAAGGCAUCAAAGGGCUGCAAUAUGUUGGAGUGGAAAGAGGAAUAGAAACUUAAUGAAGUUGCCAGAGAGCAACAAGAAACCAAGAACAGGCAGAGCUUAAUUUUAGGCUCCAGGGAUUUUCCCAGACUUAUUUUCACUGUUUCUUAGGGCUCCAAUUUUCUAAGUCCUUUAUUCUUCAGUCAAAUGAAGUACAAGGAAAUGUGAGAACUCUAGAUGAGUCCCUGAAGUCAUUGAUACUAAUCAAAUGACCCUGGCAGCUCAGAUCAGCAGGCACUUUGGGAGCAUCAGCAAUGACCCCUGUGUCCUUGGGAUGUCACUCUCCUGCUAUAAAGUCUUCAGUGGAUCUCUACUGCCUUGGAAUAACUGGACUCUCUAGCCUCACCUUUAAAAUCUUCCAGGAACCCUUUCUCUCACUAAUCCCCUUCAGGCGCAAAUACUCCAGCAAAACUUAAUCACUGGUUUUUCACACUUGACAUGAACUUUUUCCAUUUUCUGACUUUUCUCAAAGUUUACCUUGUGUAGAAUAAUAUUUUAUCUAACUGACACAUCUAAAUAUAACUAUUCUUCAAUGCCAGCUAAAAGCUUAUCUCUUCCAGAAUGCCUUCUUUCUGAUUACACUAAUCUCUGAUCACACCUACAUUUACUUGACUUAUAUUACUCAGCAUGUUUUUACUAUAAAGUAAAUCUUGUGUCAUCUUCCUCAUUUACACUGCACAUUCAUCAAAUACAGAUAUUAUAUGUUAUCAAUAUUUUCAAAUGACCUCAGUGCCAGAGUUGAACUAAUCAUAUUCCUCAGUUCAUAUCACCUGAUCAUUAGAGUUGAAGCAAAACACUUAAUUUAGAUAUUUAUUCCUUUUUCACCUCAUUCUGUUACCGUUCCCUCUCCCAUUCCCCUUUCCAUAGACAACUGCUCUGAGUUUGAAGUCUAACACGUGUAUACAUACUCUUGCAAAAUAUAAUAAUAUAGUCUACUGUAUCUUAUUAGACUUUGUUCUACUUCUUAUUUUUUUACUCAGCGCUGUGGUUUUGUUUUGUUUUGUUGAGACAGGGUUUUGCUCGUUGCCCAGGCUGGAGUGCAAUGGCGCGAUCUUGGCUCACUGCAACCUCAGCCUCCCGGGUUCAAGCAAUUCUCCUGCCUAAGCCUCCUAGUAGCUGGGAUUAUAGGCACCCGCCACCACGCCUGGCUAAUUUUCGUAUUUUUAGUAGAGAUGGGGUUUCACCACGUUGGCCAGGCUGGUCUCAAACUCCUGACCUCAGGUGAUCCACCCACCUCAGCCUCCCAAAGCACUGUGUUUUUAAGAUCUAUUCAUAUUGCUCUGUUGACACUUGGUUUGUUACUUCAAGCUGCCAUACAAUACUCAAUAUUAUGCAGUCUGCACAUUUUACUCACCCCUUCCUCCAGGAAUGAACACCAAGAUUCCCCCUAAUCACUGGAAGCCACAAAUAGAUAAUACAUGACUCUUAAGUGUGAAAACUUCUUUACAAUAUAUAUACCCAGGUAAGGGCUGGCUGGGUAAUAAGGUGUAUGCAUGUUGAAAUUGACUAAGUACUGAAUUUGACUAGCUGUACCAGUCUACUCUCACUAGUAGUUCACUUAGGUUAUUAUUUUCCCACAUCCUUGCAAAUACUUGGCCUUAUCUGAUUUUCUAAUGCUUGUUUAUCUCAUGGAUAUCUAGUUGUAGUUUUUGAAUUUGUUUAAAUCACUCUUAGCUGAUUUUUAAUACAUUUGAGCAUUCUUCAUAUAUCCUUUAGCCAUUUAGGUUUCCACUUCUGCAAAUUGCCUAUAUACAUUCUUUGUCUAUUUUUCAAUUAGUUUUCCUGACUCUUUAUUAUCGAAUGAUUUGCAUAUGUUUUCUUGUACAUCCUAAAUACAAGUUAGGCCUUUUGGCUAAGAUCAAGUGUAGUAUCUGUUCUUAUCAGUUUAAAUACUAGUUAACACAUUGGUUUCAGUUUGGCUGUGGGGUCCUUCACUGAACAAUUCUGAUGAAGUCAAAUGAACAAUUCCUUACAUUUUGUUUGUGCUUUUGGUAACUUGCUUAAGAGUUCUUUCCCAUACCAGUGUCAUAACCUAUAGUUUCUUCUGUAGCUUUAUAGUUUUGCUAUUCAUAUUUAGAUGUUUAGUACAUAUACACAUAUAUACAUAUAUAUUUUCACACACAUAUAUACACACACUCCUCUCUAUAUGCAUAUGUAUAUAUAUGUAUAUGGUAUGAGAUAUAAAUCUGUUUUUUCUCAAUAUGGUAAACUUAUUUUCCCAUUACCAUAAACCGGUUUUUCUUUCCCCAAGGAUUUGUGGUGUCAUGUUUAUCGUAUCUAAGACUUCCAUCUGAGAUCUCCGUUCUGUUCCAUUUCUUCAUUUAUGUUUUUACACCAGUACCAUACUAUUGUUUGUGUGUUUUUUUUUUUAAAUUACUAUAGCUUUGUUUUAAUCUUAAGUUUUGGCAGAACAAAUUCCUGCCCUUUAGUCUUAUUUUUCAAAAUUGAUUUAACUAUUUGUGGAUGUUCAUUCUUCUAUAUACAUUUUAAAAUAAGUAAAGUCCUUAAAAACAUCUAGCUACAGUUUCAAUUGGCAUGCUAUAGAUUUAUGAAUCAUUUGUCAGUGGGGGGUGUGGAUACUUUUAGAAUGUUAAAUGAUCUUAUCUGUAAAGAUAAACUAUUUCUCCAUUUAUUUAGAACUUCGCAUCUCGUAAUAGGUUUUUAAAACUUUAACCAUGGAGCUCUUUCACAUUCUUUCAAAAGUUUACUGACAUGUUAUAGUUGUUUUUACUGCUGUGUACAGCAGCUUAUUUCCUAAUUAUGUUUUCUAGAUGGUCAUUGCUGCUGCAGAGAAAUGUUAUGGACUUUUUAAAACUGAUCUUGUAUCCAGCAACUUUGCUGAACUUCUUGAUUUGUUUUACCUUCUUGACCUGUUAUAAUAUCUAUGUGUAAUGCUACUCUUUGUCUUUAGAAGAUAUUUUUGGCUUUAAGUCUUUUGAUAGAUUUAAGAUCAAGAUUGGUACUCUGGCCUUUUUUAUUGUUUAUAUUUCUUUUGCAUAUGUUUUUAGUGCUUUUAAUUUCUACCUUUCUAUGUCUUUUUGUUUUAAAGUGUAAGAAUGUCUUAUACUUAGCGCUUUGUUUUGUAAUCCAAUAUGAGUGCCAUUUACUAUAAUUACUGUUUUAUCAGGAUUUAUUUUUUCAUUUUAUAUUUCCUUUUACUAUGUGGCUUCUUCUUCCUCUUCCUAGUUCAUCUUGUGUUCUUCCAAAUACACAGAAAUGAUUUCUGCUGCUUUGAGAUUUAUAUUCUAAUUUAUUCUUCUAGUAAGUUAUCCCUAAGUUGUCCUUUUUGACUGGGGCUUAUUUCACUUAACAUAAUGUCUUAAAGUUUCAUCCAUGUUGUAGUAUGUACCAGAAUUUCAUUCUUUUUAAAGGCUGAAUAAUAUUUCAUUGUAUGUAUAUACCAUAUUUUGUCUGCAUUCAUCUAUCAGUGGACACUUGAGUUGCUUCCACUUUUGGCUAUUGUGAUAAUGUUGCUAUUACAAUAGCAACAACAUUGCUCUAUGUCUGUCUUUCUGUCUUUCAGUAUCACACUAUUUUGAUUACUGUAGCUUUGAAAUAAGAAAGUAUAUGACCUUCAACUUUGUUAUUUUACAAGAUUGAGUUGGCUACACGAAGUCUCUUGAGAUUCUGUAUGAAUUUCAGAAUGGAUUUUUUAUUGCUACGAAAAAGCAUUGGAAUAUCAAUAGGGAUUGCAUUGAAUCUGUGGAAUGCUUUGGGUAGCAGUGACAUCUCAACAAUAUCGAGUCUUCCAAUUCAUGAACACUGGUUUUUUCCCCCAUUUAUUUGUGUCUUCUUUAAUAUCUUUCAGCAAUAUUUUGUAGUUUUUAGUGUACAAGUCUUUCAACUCCUUAGUUGUAUUAAUUCCUAAGUGGCUUUUGUUGUUUUUGGCUGGAGGAGAUGCUAUUGUAAGUUGAAAUAUUUUCCUAAUUUCCUUUUUGGUUUAUUCAUUGCUAAUGUUUAGAAAAGCAAUGAUUUUUGCAUGUCGAUUUUGUGAUUUUGCAACUUUCCCAAAUCAGUUUAUUAGCUCUAACAGAUUUGUUUGUGUAAAAUCUUUAGGGUUUUCUACAUAUAAAAUGAUGUCAUCUGUGAACAGAGACAAUGUUAUUCCUUCUUUUCCAAUUGCGAUGUCUUUAAUUUUUCUUUCUUACUUCACUGCGCUGACUAUGAAUUCUAGUACUAUGUUGAAUAGAAGUGGCAAAACAGCAUCCUUGCCUUAUUCCUGAUCUUAGAGGAAAAGCUUUCACUCUUUCACCAUUGAGUACGAUGUUUGAGCUGUGGGUUGUUCAUAUAUGGCUUUUAUUAUGUUGUGGUAAUUUCCUUCUAAUCCUAGUUUGUUGAGUUUGUUUUUUUUUUUUCUAAUCAUGAAAGGGUAUUGAACUAUGUCAAAUACUUUCUCUGUAUCAAUUGAGAUGAUUAUGUGUUUUUAUUUCCUUUACUUGUUAAUGUGGUGCAUUACAUUGAUUUUUGUGUAUUGAGCCAUCCUUGUAUUCCAGUAAUAAAUCCCACCUGGUCAUGAUGUGUAAUCCUUUUAAUACACUCUUGAAUUUGGCUUGCUAGUAUUUUGUUGAGUAUUUUGCCUCAAUAAUCUUAAGGGAUAUUAGUUUUCUUUCCUGGUAGCAUAUUUCUCUGGCUUUGAUAUCAAGUAAUGCUGGACUUACAGACUUAGAUAAGAACUGCUCACUCCUCUUUAUUUUUUUGGAAGAGUUUGAGAAGGACUGGCAUUAAUCUUUCUUUGAAUUUUUGGUAGAAUUCACCAGUGAAGACACCUGCUCCGAGGCUUUUCUUUGUUAGGAGGUUUUUGAUUAUUAAUUCAAUUGCCUUACUCAUUAAAAAGGUCUACUCAUAUUUUAUAUUUCUUUAUAAUUUAGUUUUGGUAGGCUGUGUGUUUCUAGGAAUUUGUCAGUUUCAUCUGGGUUAUCUAAUUUGUUGGUUUACAAUUGUUCAUGCUACUGUCAUAAUUCUUUUUAUUUCUAUAAAAUCAGCAAUUUUUUAUUUUUAUUUCAAUCACUUGAGUCAUCUUUUAGUCAAUCUAGCUAAAAGUUUGUCAAUUUUCUUGAGCUUUUAAAAGAACCAACUCUCAGUUUUGCUGAUUUUCUCUAUUAUUUUUCUAUUCUCCAUGUCUAUUCUAAUCUUUGUUAUUUUUUUCCCUUUGCUAGGCUUGGGUUUAGUUUGUACUUGUUUUUCUAGUUCCAUAAGGUAGAAAGUUAGAGCACUGAUUUGAGACCUUUCUUCUUUUUUAAUGUAAGCAUUUACAGCUAUAAUUUUCCUUCUUCUGACUACAUUCACUGCAUCCUGUAAGUUUUAGUAUGUUGUUUUUAUUUUCAUUUGUCUCAAGAUAUUUUCUAAUUUCCCUUGUGAUUUCUUCUUUGACCCUUUAGAUGUUUAAGAGUGUGUUGUUUACUUUCCACAAUUUGUGAAUUUUUAUUUUUUUCUUCUGCUGUUGAUUUCUAGUUUCAUUCCAUUUUGAUUGGGAAAGAUACACAGUAUGAUUUCAAUCUUUUAAAAUUUAUUCAGGCUUGUUUUGUGACCUAACAUAUGGUCUACCCUGGAGAAUGCUCCCUGUGCAGUUGAGAAAAAUAUAUAUUCUGCUGUUGUUGGGCAUAGUAUUCUCUAUAUGUCUGUUAGUCCAAUUUGUCUACAGUGUUGUUUGUGUUAUUUAUUUAUUUUCUGUCUACUUGUAAUAUUUGCCAUUGAGAAUGUGGUAUUAAAGUCUCCUACUAUUAUUGUAGCCAAUAUUUUCAAUAGGGUCUUUGUGUGGCAACCUUUCUGAGGUUUUAUACGGCUGAGAUUAUUUCUAUUGCACUUUUCAUAUUUAAAUGCCAAUCCGGAUGAGUGCAAGAUUCUAGCUUCAAAGAUUUUUUUCUCCAAUACUAAAAAAGUAUAACUCAGGCCGGGCAUGGUAGCUAACGCCUGUAAUCCCAGCAUUUUGGGAGGCCAAGGCAGGUGGAUCACGAGGUCAAGGGAUUGAGACCAUCCUGGCCAACAUGGUGUAACCCCAUCUCUACUAAAAAUACAAAAAUUAGCCGGGCAUGGUGGUGCACGCCUG
rnacentral:lncRNA from 1 species